CCGCUCCUCGCCGGCGAAAAGCGGGGCCGGGCUCCGGGGCCUGGGUCCGGGGCGGGCGGGAGUGGGGACAUUUUUCGUGGUCCCGAGCGUCCCGUCCCGGCGUCCCCGCCCCCGCCCCGCGGCCGCCUCUCCACGCCCUGCCCCGGGCCGCCCGCCAGGCCGCCGUUUCCCGGAGCCGGCCCCCUCCCGCCCUCGCGGCCGGCUGAUGUCAUCUGCACACAACUUUCCGCUUCCCGGCCCGUCUCGGGGCCCUGAGUCAUCGCCGCCCCCGGCCCCGACGCUGGCCUGCGGCGUCUGUUUGUGCAGAGCGAGGCCCCGCCGGCCGGGCUUGACGUCAGGCUGGCAGGGCCUGGAACGGCCCCGCAUCGCGGCCCCCUGGGGGCAGGACGACACCGCUGGGGGCCGAGGGCAGGGCACGCCUUCGGAAUCCGGCUUCGAAGCCGGCCGCCUGACCUGGGGCAAGUGCUUUCAACUCUCUGAACUUCGGUUCCUCAUCUGCCAGUUGGCAGACGCUCAGCAAAUCUUCCUAGACUCACGGGGCGAAUUGUACAGUUGGGUAAAUCGAGGCCCAGAGAUGGCAAAAGGACCGUCCAAGGUCGUACAGCCACCCGGAAUUACAAUUCUUUUCUGCCGGGUCACACGCUGUCAUCCACGUGUUACCUAAGAGAGCUUUCCAGCCUGUGCUAAGAAAACUGCCCCACAUCAUCUGCAGUAGGACGGGGGAGUUGGAGCCCUGGUCAGGCCACUCUGCUACUGACCACAGUUUUCUCAUCUCUAAAAAGGCGCAGUAACAAUAUAAUUACCGUAUGCAGUCCCCCAGGAUACAGGGUCAAAGGAGAGCACAACCAUCGCAGUUGGAAGCCCAUGGGGCAGCAGGGCCCAGGACACAGUGAGCAUACAAUAGACAUUAGCUGCUGUGGUGUCUUGAUUUCAAGCCCAGUGCAGAUGCAUCUGACUUACGAAACUUCAGUGACACCUGCUCUGUGCCAGACACUGAAGAUGGAGCAGUGAACAGCACUGACCCAGCCUGUCCUCCUGUUGCCUGCAGGCCAGACGGAGUCUCACUCUGUCACCAGGCUGGAGUACAGUGGUGUGAUCUCGGCUCACUGCAACCUCCGCCUCCCAGGUUCAAGCGAUUCUCCUGCCUCAGCCUCUCAAGUAGCUGAGAUUACAGACGUGUGUCACCAUGCCCUGUUAAUUUUUGUUUGUUUGUUUUGUUUUUUGUUUUGUUUUGUUUCGUUUUUUGUUUUUUUUUUUUGAGACGGAGUCUUGCUCUGUCGCCCAGGCUGGAGUGCAGUGGCCCCGAUCUCGGCUCACCGCAAGCUCCGCCUCGCGGGUUCAUGCCAUUCUCCGGCCUCAGCCUCCCGAGUAGCUGGGACUACAGGCAUCCGCCACCACACCCAGCUAAUUUUUUGUAUUUUUUUUAGUAGAGACGGGGUUUCACUGUGUUAGCCAGGAUGGUCUCGAUCCCCUGACCUUGUGAUCCACCCAAGGCCUCGGCCUCCCAAAGUGCUGGGAUUACAGGCAUGAGCCACCGUGCCCGGUCAAUUUUUAUAUUUUUUGUAGAGACAGGGUUUCACCAUGUUGGCCAGGCUGGUGUCGAACUCCCGACCUCAGGUGAUUGUCGGCCUUGGCCUCCCAAAGUGCUGGGAUUACAGGCGUGAGCCACCGCGCCCAGCCGGUGGGCAGCCAGUUGUGUUCCGGGAGGAGGAGGACACCCUGGAAAGACAGUGGGGCCAGACACUGAACUGCCUUUGGAAGCAAGUAGGAGCAACAGCGAAGGUUUGCUGGCUCAGAAGCAAGGUCUCGCUGUGUUACCCUGGCUGGAGUGCAGUGGCUACUUACAGGCAUGAUCAUAGCAUACUGCAGCCUCGAACUCCUGGACUAGAGCAGUUCUCCUGCCUCAGCCUCCAGAGCAGCUGGGACUGCAGACACGCACCACAGAGCCCAGCCUGAGUCAUUUUGAUUCUGUAACUGGCUUCCUCUCGGCGGGCAGGCUCACACCCUCCACCCCCAGCUGGAGAUGGAAGGAGGAUGCUCACCGCCCAUUCCUCAUGCAGGCCAUCGAUGGAAAUGUCAGACAGUGCGAGUCCACGCCUGAACACUUCUGGGGUCCGCUCUGGGACUGACACUGGCAGAUCCAUCGUGGCACCCGAGCUCUGUGAGGGCAAGACUUUGUUCGGUUGUGGGCUAUGCCCCCAACCCCUCGGACAGUGCCUGCACAGGUGGACAUUUUUGUUGGAUGAAGGAUUUUCUGUUAAAUGUGUCUGGCACACACAGAAAAACAAAGCCCAGCAGGUACGAUGGUGAUUAUUAUUGUUACUGGUGGCGCUCUAUUAUUGUUAUUAGUGUCUGUUGAAAAAGACCCUGAGCUAUACCAGCCCUUGGUUCUCCAGCCUGUGAAAUGGGCAUCCUGGGCACUGAGGCACUAGCCUUGGGAAGCUGAUAGGGGGUCCCUGCAGGAGAGACAAAGAACACUGCCCACCCCCCCGGGGGAGCCUGCGCCCCUCACCGGAAAGAGAAGCAGGGGGGAGCAGAGGGAGCUUGCAGCCCCACACGCAGGGCUGCCAGAAGGCCAUACAUAAUUCAUUGCCAAAUGGGGCUGCGGGCGGCUCUCCGCGGCGUGCGCUGGGGGCUCACUCUGCGCCUGGCACUUCGCUGACUGCGCCUCACACGUUGCCUCAUUGCAUCUUCAUGGAUUUGCAGGGUGUGACCCUUCCCCCUGUUUUACCCAGGGGGAUCCUGAGGCUCAGAGGAUGGGGCCACCGUGCUAGUCACACAGCCUCUCUGUGGCCAAGCUGGGCCUCGGGCCAGCAGAUUCGGCCCCCAGCGGCCCCCAUUCACUGCCUCUCUGCUGAGGGAAAAGACGGGCCUGGGGAGCGGGUGGGAGGCACAAAGGAGACCCCGCUCUGAGACAGGCUGCAGAAGAGGGAGCUGGGUCUCAGCAGGGCUGGGGAAGGCUCUGGCCCCAGCCCUCCGCCCAACCCCCUGCCCUCCUCUCCUGGAGGAGAUGCUCCCCAAAUUAGCCAUCAUGAGCGCUGGCUCUGGGGGUUGGGCGUUGGGGAGCAGUUUGCUCAGCUGUAAAAUGGGAAUAACAGAAGCCGUCCCUGGGACUAUGAGAUCAAGGUGCUCAAGAAAAGUGGUGUCUGCUGAGGGGAAAAGCCAGUCCCAAAAGGUUGCAUACUCUCAUUCUGUUUAUUUGUUUUUGUUUUUGAGACAGGGUCUCGCCCUGUCACCCAGGCUGGAGUACAGUGGCGCAAUAUGGGCUCACUGCAACCUCCACCUCCUGGGCUCAAGUGAUCCUCCCAUCUCAGACCCUCAAGGAGCUGGGGCUACAGGCACGUGCCACCGUGUCCGGCUAAUUUUUGUAUUUUUUGUAGAGACAGGGUUUCACCAUGUUGCCCAGGCUGGUCUCAAACUCCUGAGCUCAGGUGAUCCGCCUGCCUUGGCCUGCGAUAAAAUUGCACAGAAGUAAAUACACACACGUGAGGAUACGGAAAACCGGGGAAACCUGAGCAAGAGCAGUCAGACCCCGGCUGUGAUGGCGCCCAGUAGUUCUGCGAGAUGUUACCAUUGGGGAAACUGAGUGAAGGCGGGUACCUGGGAUCCCUCUGUUUUCUUUUUUGUUGUUGUUGUUAUUUUGAGAUGAAGUUUCCCUCUUGUUGCCCAGGCUGGGUGAUCCACCUGCCUCGGCCUCCCAAAGUGCUGGGAUUACACGCGUGAGCCACUGUGCCCAGCCUCUCUGUUUUAUUUCUUCUUUUUUUUUUUUUUUUUUUGGAGACGCUCUGUCGCCCAGGCUGGAGUGCAGUGGCACGAUAUUGGCUCACUGCAAGCUCCGCCUCCUGGGUUCACACCAUUCUCCUGCCUCAGCCUCCCGAGUAGCUGGGACUACAGGCGCCCGCCACCUCGCCCGUCUAAUUUUUUGUAUUUUUAGUAGAGGCGGGGCUUCACCGUGUUAGCCAGGAUGGUCUCAAUCUCCUGACCUCGUCAUCCGCCCGUCUCGGCCUCCCAUAGUGCUGGGAUUACAGGCAUGAGCCACCACGCCCGGCUGUUUUAUUUCUUAUAACUGUACAGGAAUCUACAAUGAUUGUAACAAAAAUUUCAAUUAAGGCCACUCUAGGCACAUGGCCUGUGGGGUAGCCCUGCUCAACAAGAAGCCGUCAAAAAAAUGUUUUUUAAUUAAAAAAUUUCUUCAAUUAAAAAGCGUUAUCUUCCUCUGCCCGGAAAGGGUUAAGUGAGUCACUGCAGUUAGCUCCCCUUCCCCCACAACCACCUAGACCAGGCCAGGGACCAGCGGGCAAUUGCCUGGCAGCUGGAGUUUUCCUCCACUGUGGACUGUACUUCUUGCGUCACUCUGAAUGUCUCCAGUCUUUAUUCCAGAAUGUUCUGGUCCUCUCCCACUUUUCCAAGGACAGGAAUUCCCUAGUGGGGCUCCAGAAGAGGCUCUGGAGGAGAACAAGAAAGGCCCUUGUCAUCCAUUGGCCUCAGGCUGGGAAAUCUCGGUUCCACUCCCAGCCCAGCCUCAAUAUUAGGUUGUCAGUCUGGAGUCUGAGAGCCAUGCCCCCACCCCCUUAGUCCUUCACCUCCAGGAGAGUUGGGGAUACUGGAAAGAAUGUUGAGUGUCAGAGCCCCUCUCAGUGGCUCACGCCUGAAAUCCCAGCCCUUUGGGAGGCUGAGGCAGGUGGAUUGCUUGAGGCCAAGAGUUCAAGACCAGCCUGGCCAACGCGACGAAACCCUGACUCUACUAAAAAUACAAAAAUUAGCUGGGCGUGGUGGCACACACCUGUAAUCCCAGCAGCUCGGGAGGCUGAGGCAGGAGAAUUGUUUGAACCUGAGAGGUGGAGGUUGCAGUGAGCUGAGAUCACAACACUGCACUCAAAAAGUAGUUAAUUAAUUUAGUUUAAUUAAAAAAGAAUAUUGAGUGUCAGGCAAUCUGGGUAGAACCCAUUGUGUUUCUACAGGAUAGAAUCUGCUGUGUUCUCUAGCGGAACUUCCGGAUCACCUUCACCGUAUGACUCUAGACAAUCCCUGUCCACUCUUCAGUUUUAGAUGCCCCAUUCAAAGAAUGAAAGAAUUGUCCUAGAUGAUCCUUUAGGGUCUUCCAGGCUGAUGACAAGGGGGACCUGGCCCCUCUGCUGCUGGCCAAAGAGGACUUUACUUCCCAUUCCGUGUGGUUGAACAAGAAUUGCUGGGCUCCAGUCCUGCCUUUGGCCCUUCCCUACAUGUGACCUUGGGCCCUCUUUGCCUUUCAGAAUCAAUACAGUGAGAGAGUUAACACAAGCUCAGGUUAGUAAGUCAUUCAACAAACAUUUACUGAGCGCUUAUCAAAUACUGCAUGCUGGAGUGGACACUGGAGAAAAAGGUGAGGAGAAGGCCGGGCGCAGUGGCUCGUGACUGUAAUUCCAGCACUUUGAGGGGCAGAGGCAGGUGGAUUACCUGAGGUCAGGAGUUUGAGACCAGCCUGGCCAACAUGGCAAAACCCCGUCUCUACUAAAAAUACAAAUAUUAGCCAGGCAUGGUGGUGCAUAUCUGUAGUCCCAGCUACUCAGGAGGCUGAGCAGGAGAAUCACUUGAACUCAGGAGGUGGAGCGUGCAGUGGGCCGAGAUUGCACCUCUGCACUCCAGCCUGGGCAACAUAGUGAGACUCUGUCUCAAAUAAAUAAAUAAAGUGAGGAGAAAAAAAUACCAUCUCUGUCUUCACAGAACUUAUAGUUUGAGAGGGGAGAAUCCCACAAGUAAAUUAUAAAUCUCAGCUGAGAUUAUGCAAAGAAGCAAAGGCCGGACGUGGUGGCUCACGCCUGUAAUCCCAGCACUUUGGGAGGCCGAGACGGGCGGAUCAUGAGGUCAGGAGAUUGAGACCAUCCUGGCUAACACGGUGAAACCCUGUCUCUACUAAAAAUACAAAAAAAUUAGCUGGGCGUGGUGGCGGGCGUCUGUAGUUCCAGCUACUCGGGAGGCUGAGGCAGGAGGAUGGCGUGAACCCAGGAGCACAGGUUGCAGUGAGCCGAGAUGGCGCCACUGCACUCCAGCCUGGGCGACAGAGCGAGACUCUGUCUCAAAAAAAAAAAAAAAAAAGGAAGCAAAGUGCCCAGCUGGGAUGGUGGUUUCAGAGGCCACAGUGGGAGCUUCCCAGAGAAGGGAUGAUUGAGCUAAGUCUAAGCAAAAGGGGUGGUCAGGGCAGCAGCUGCUCCAAAACAGGGGCUGGGGGCUUAUGUGGAGAGAGAAGACAUGGAGAGACCAUGCCCAGAAGGAGGCGGCGGCUUCAGUGAACAGUGCAGGGGAGCAGGUCCGAGGAGGCCGCCUACCAGGGGAAGGAGUCUCAUCUCCAUCCUAGACAAAAAAAGGAUCUUUUGAGAUGCAUUAAGCAGGGGAGUCACAGAUUGGAUUUGUGUUUUGAGAAUCUCCUGCUUACCUAGAGAAGAAGGGCAUCUCCUGGGCCCUCACUGUUGCCUUAAAUGAUUUUUAUUGUGUAUUACUUAAACAUGUGCAAGCAUAAAAUGAGAUAUAAACUCCUUGUAGCUCUUAUACAAGCAUCAGACCAAGACAAAUUGACCCAUCACGUACAAAAUCGAUUCAAAUCAGAUUAAUUUUAUGUGACAUGUUAUUAUGCCUUUUGUCUGAAACCCUGCCACCACCCACAGUGCAAUUAUGGCCCAACCACUGUGGUGUUCUGAAUUUGUGGGACAGAGAAUAUUGGCCUUUUAAACACGUGCAUGCAUGCAUUUGCGUGUGCGCACACACACACAUCCCAAAUGAUUUUUUCCCACUAUAUAUGAAGAACUCCUACAAACCAAAAAGAAAAAGGCAGACAAUUCAAGAGAAAAAUGGGGGAGGGCUUGCAUUAAAGUACUUCAUAACAAGAGUACUUAGGAGGCCAACAAAUACACGAAAAGCUGCUAGCUUCAUGACUCAUGGGGGUGGCUUGGUCAGUUCAGGAUACUGUAACAAAAUACCUUAGACUGGGAAAUUUAUAAACAACGGAAUUUAUUGCUCACAGUUCUGGAGGCUGGGAAGUCCAAGAUCAAGGCAGCAGUAGAUCCGGUGCCUGAGCCCGUUCCCUGCUUCAAACAUGGCACCUUCUUGCUGUAUCCUCACAUGGUGGAAGGGGGAAGACAGUUCUCUGGGGCCUCUUUUAUAAGGGCAGUUAUCCAAUUCACAAGGAUAGAGCCCUCAUGACCUAAUCACCUUUCAAAGAUCCCCAUCUUCUAACACCUUCUAACACCAUCACCUUGGUGAUUAGGUCUUUUUGUUGUUGUUGUUGUUGAGAUGGACUCUCACUCUGUUGCCUAGGCUGGAGUGCAGUGGCGUAAUCUUGGUUCACUGCAACCUCUGCCUCCCGGGCUGAAGUGAUUAUCCUGUCUCAGCCUCCCAAGUGGCUGGGAUUACAGGCGUGUGCCACCAUGCCCGGCUAAUUUUCAUAUUUUUAGUAGAGACAGGGUUUCACCAUGUUGGUCAGGCUGGUCUCGAACUCCUGACCUCAUGAUCCGCCCACUUCGUCCUCCCAAAAUGCUGGGAUUACAGGCAUGAGCCACUGCACCCAGCCGAUUAAGUCUUAACGUAUGAGUUUUUGGGAGAAACUCAAACAUUCGGACAAUAGCAAGGAGAAUACAAAACCACAGUGAGCUACCGCUUCAGACACCAGAGAAGUUUAAGUGAAAAAGACUGGCAAUACCAAGUGCUGAUGAGGAUAUGGAGCAACCAGAACUCUCAGACAUUGCUGAUGGGAAUCUAAAUUAGUAUAACCACCACGAAAGCAUCCGUAAGGUUUAAUUGUGUUGAACACACCCUGCCCUCUGACCAAGCAUUUCCACUCCUGGGCAUACAGGCAAAAGAAAUGCAUCCACGUGUUCAUCAAAAGAUGUAACCUGUGCCAGGUGAGGUGGUUCAUGCCUGUAAUCCCAGCACAUCGGGAGGCCAAGGAGGGAGGAUUGCUUGAGCCCAGAAGUUCGAGAGCAGCCUAGGCAACAAGGCAAAACCUCGUCUCUACUAAAAAGUAGCCAGGCAUGAUGGUAUAUGCCUGUAGUCCCAGCUACUCAGGAGGCCAAGGCAUGCAGAUUGAUUGAACCCGGAAGGUGGAGGCUACAGUGAAUUGUGAUCUCGCCACUGCACUCCAGCCUGGGUGACAGAGCAAGAUCUUGUCUCAAUUAAAAAAAAAGGAAGAAAGAAAGACAUAACCUGGAAUAUUCACACCAACACUAUUCAGGAUAGCCCUAAACUGGAAAGAAUCUGAAUAUCCUCCGGCUUUAGAACAGAGAGAAAUUAUAGACUAUUCAUUCAUACAGGGGAUGAUUGAUCAGCUUUAAGAAUAAACAAACCGUACACAACAAUAUAGAUGAAUCUACAACCUUAAUGUGCAAAAUAGUUCACAUAUAUAAAGGACAAAAACAGGCAAAACUACUCCAUGGUGUUAGAAAUAGGGGUAGAGGUUACCCUCAUGCGGCAGGAGGGUUAGUGAUAGGGGAUUUGGAAGAGGAGGAGCCCAAUGGACUGAACAGCUGAGCUGGAAACAGCAAUUUGUUCCUUAAAGUUCUGAACCCAACUGUUAUCCAGCAUGGAGUCUGUCUGGAGAGGCCAGAUGUGGGGCCUCUCACAGGGGAAUGAGAAGUGCCUCUCAGGGUCCCACCCAUGAUCCCCCUUUCCUUGCCCACACAACCACCAACUGGCAAGUAGUAACCCAGGACCUGUAGCCCCCACUGGCUUGACACAGAGCAUAAUGCAAGCUUUUCCUGCUCCAGGUCCUGGACACCACUUUGCCCUUUGCCCCACACGUACAGCCCCCUGACCAAAAGCUGGGUACUCUGGCUUGACUAGAGGGAGCUAGACUCCAGGAAUAAGUAAGGAGCUGGGCUUCCACGCUAGAGAACAAGAGCUUCUCUGGGGAAAGGGGCUUCCCAUGAAGCCCUGGGGCACUGGGAGAUUAAUGGGCAGACCUCUGGCCUCAGCUUCCAGGGAAGGGGAGGGUGUGGGCCAACAUGCGGUGGCUACACUGACCACAAGCCGAUGACCCCAGCCAGCCUCAGGAUGUCUCAGCUCUAGGCAUGGUUUUUCGUUUUGUUUUGUCGUGUUUUGUUUUUGAGAUGGAACCUCGCUCUGUCGCCUAGGCUGGAGUGAAGUGGCACCAUCUCGUCUCCCUGCAACCUCCACCUCCUGGGUUCAAGCGAUUCUCCUGCCUCAGCCUCCUGAGUAGCUGAGAUUACAUGUGCGUGCCACCUUGCCCAGCUAAUUUUUGUAUUUUUAGUAGAGAUAGGGUUUCAUCAUGUUAGCUAGGCUGGUCUCAAACUCCUGACCUCAAGUGAUCUGCCUGCCUCAGCCUCCCAAAGUGCAAGGAUUACAGGCAUGAGCCACCAUGCCCGGCAUAGGCAUGGUUUUGACAAUCUGUCUCUUUGUGCCCUGGCUCCUUCUCCAACUCCUCUUUGGAGGAGGCACAGGAGGAGGGGUCAUUUCACUGUUCCUGAAAAGUAGACAUAUAACCUACAUGCAACUGCCAGGUGAUAAGGGCCCCAUCUGUCUGGCAUGACGUUGGAGGUCCACAAAGGCUGAUUAGAUGAAUGCUCAGCUCUGGGGCCUCCCCACAGAGCUCACAGACAGGCGUGAAGGAAAGCAGGACUCUUAUUAGAAUAUGUUCAGAGUUUUCACUGAAGAAGCCUCCUGUGUGGGCCAGGCACUGUGCUCAGUGCUUUGAUUCACAGUCUCAUUUAAUUCUCACCAUUUACAGACAAGAAUUCAGCUAAGAUCCUUUUCAAUCAAGUCUGGCAAUAUCUGCCUUUCAAUGGCAGUGCCUAGUCCUUUCAUAUGUAAUAUACUUAUCAUUAUGGGUGGGUUUAAGUUUUAUCAUCUUGCUAUUUGUUAUCUAUUUGUCCCCCCUCUUUUGUUCCUCCUUUACUGCCUUCUAUUUGGUUGAGACUUAAUAAAAUAUUUUAUUCCAUCUUCUCUACUUACUUUUUAGCUAUGCCUCCUUAUAUUUUUGGUUGCUGGAGUGUUACAAUAUGCAUUCUUCAAUAUCCAGUCUACUUUCCAAUAAUAUUACACCACUUCAUGUAUAACGUAAGAACGUUACAAAAAUAUAAUGCCAGGGCUGGGCGCAGUGGCUCACGCCUGUAAUCCCAGCACUUUGGGAGGUCGAGGCGGGCAGCUCACCUGAGGUCAGGAGUUCGAGACCAGCCUGACCAACAUGGAGGAACCCCAUCUCUACUAAAAAUACAAAAUUAGCCGGGCAUGGUGGCUCAUGCCUGUAAUCCCAGCUACUCAGGAGGCUGAGGCAGGAGAGUUGCUUGAACCGGGGAGGUGGAAGUUGCAAUGAGCCAAGAUUGCGCCGUUGCACCCCACACUGGGCAACAAGAGCGAAACUCCGUCUCAAUAAAUAAAUAAAUUAAAUAAACAAAUAUAUAUAUAUAUAUAUAUGUAAUGCCAUCACAUCUUCUCCGGCCUUUGGUGUUAUUGUGGUCAUAUACUUUAUUUUUGUAUGUCUUAUAGAUCCCAG
rnacentral:lncRNA from 1 species